rnacentral:rRNA from 1 species
UGAGGAAUAUUGGUCAAUGGGCGCAAGCCUGAACCAGCCAUCCCGCGUGAAGGAAGAAUGCGCUAUGCGUUGUAAACUUCUUUUCCAGGGGAAGAAAAUCCUGUACGUGUACGGGACUGACGGUACCUUGGGAAUAAGCAUCGGCUAACUCCGUGCCAGCAGCCGCGGUAAUACGGAGGAUGCGAGCGUUAUCCGGAUUCAUUGGGUUUAAAGGGUGCGUAGGCGGAGCGAUAAGUCAGUGGUGAAAUUCUGCAGCUUAACUGUAGACGUGCCAUUGAUACUGUCGUUCUUGAGUAUGGUCAAGGUAGGCGGAAUGUGUAAUGUAGCGGUGAAAUGCUUAGAUAUUACACAGAACACCGAUUGCGAAGGCAGCUUACUGGGCCAUUACUGACGCUGAUGC